CAGCAGCCGCAACUCAAAUAAAUUGACGGGACGUGUGCCAGCAGCCGCAACAAGCCAACUCAAAUGAAUUGACGGGGACUCAAAUGGAUCGACGGGAACUCAAAGAAAUUGACGGGAA
rnacentral:rRNA from 1 species